rnacentral:rRNA from 1 species
UACAUGGGGUGCAAACGUUGCUCGGAAUUACUGGGCGUAAAGCGCGCGUAGGCGGCUUUGUAAGUUAGAGGUGAAAGCCCGGAGCUCAACUCCGGAACUGCCUUUAAAACUGCAUCGCUUGAAUCCAGGAGAGGUGAGUGGAAUUCCGAGUGUAGAGGUGAAAUUCGUAGAUAUUCGGAAGAACACCAGUGGCGAAGGCGGCUCACUGGACUGGUAUUGACGCUGAGGUG